GUGCUCACUUCAGCAGCCCAUGUAUGCUAAAAUUGGAAUAAUACAGAGAUUAGCAUGGCAUCUUCACAAGGAUGACAAGCAAAUUUGUGAAGCAUUUCGUUUUGGU
ensembl:snRNA U6 U6 spliceosomal RNA